UAUNGGUCAAUGGACGAGAGUCUGAACCAGCNAAGUAGCGUGAAGGAUGACUGCCCUAUGCGUUGAAAACUUCUUUUAUAUGGGAAUAAAACGUUCCACGUGUGGGAUUUUGUAUGUACCAUAUGAAUAAGGAUCGGCUAACUCCGUGCCAGCAGCCGCGGUAAUACGGAGGAUCCGAGCGUUAUCCGGAUUUAUUGGGUUUAAAGGGAGCGUAGGUGGAUUGUUAAGUCAGUUGUGAAAGUUUGCGGCUCAACCGUAAAAUUGCAGUUGAAACUGGCAGUCUUGAGUACAGUAGAGGUGGGCGGAAUUCGUGGUGUAGCGGUGAAAUGCUUAGACAUCACGAAGAACUCCGAUUGCGAAGGCAGCUCACUGGACUGCAACUGAUACUGAUGCUCGAAAGUGUGGGUAUCAAACAGG
rnacentral:rRNA from 1 species